UACGUAGGUGGCAAGCGUUGUCCGGAUUUACUGGGCGUAAAGAGCGCGCAGGCGGUCGUUCAAGUCGCGUGUGAAAGCCCCCGGCUCAACUGGGGAGGGUCACGCGAUACUGAUCGACUGGAAGGCAGGAGAGGGUAGUGGAAUUCCCGGUGUAGUGGUGGAAUGCGUAGAUAUCGGGAGGAACACCAGUGGCGAAGGCGACUACCUGGCCUGUUCUUGACGCUGAGGCGCGAAAGCUAGGGGAGCAAACAGG
rnacentral:rRNA from 1 species